UACGGAGGGUGCGAGCGUUGUCCGGAAUCAUUGGGCGUAAAGCGCGUGUAGGCGGUUCGGUAAGUCGGCUGUGAAAGUCCAGGGCUCAACCCUGGGAUGCCGGUCGAUACUGCCGGACUAGAGUUCGGAAGAGGCGAGUGGAAUUCCCGGUGUAGCGGUGAAAUGCGCAGAUAUCGGGAGGAACACCAAUGGCGAAGGCAGCUCGCUGGGACGUUACUGACGCUGAGACGCGAAAGCGUGGGGAGCAAACAGG
rnacentral:rRNA from 1 species